GACGAACGCUGGCGGCGUGCCUAAUACAUGCAAGUAGAACGCUGAAGGAGGAGCUUGCUUCUCUGGAUGAGUUGCGAACGGGUGAGUAACGCGUAGGUAACCUGCCUGGUAGCGGGGGAUAACUAUUGGAAACGAUAGCUAAUACCGCAUAAUAGUAGAUGUCGCAUGACAUUUGCUUAAAAGGUGCACUUGCAUCACUACCAGAUGGACCUGCGUUGUAUUAGCUAGUUGGUGAGGUAUCGGCUCACCAAGGCAACGAUACAUAGCCGACCUGAGAGGGUGAUCGGCCACACUGGGAAUGAGACACGGCCCAGACUCCUACGGGAGGCAGCAGUAGGGAAUCUUCGGCAAUGGACGGAAGUCUGACCGAGCAACGCCGCGUGAGGGAAGAAGGUUGUCGGAUCGUAAAGCUCUGUUGUAAGAGAAGAACGAGUGUGAGAGUGGAAAGUUCACACUGUGACGGUAUCUGACCAGAAAGGGACGGCUAACUACGUG
rnacentral:rRNA from 1 species